AUUAAAUUGAUUUUAAAAUUGAUUGAUUAAUUGAUUUUUAACGAACUUGGCAUCACGGUAAAUUUGUAUAAUAGUCGAUAUAUUUAAAAAUAUUUUUUAUAACGAGUCUAAUAAUGUUUGGCUAUCUAGCAACAAUCAUAAGUUGUCUUGUCCACGUCCUAAUUUACACCAUCUUAUUAAAACUCACAUUUGUGGCAAAUACAGUCGAAGGAAAGUUUAAUUACAUUACAUGAAAAAUUUGUCUUCCAAACAAAAAAAGGCGAAGAAUGUUUUUUUCUUUUUAUAAUCUUUAAAAAUAAAUAUGUCUUAAUGAAAUUCGUUGUUUUAAUAAUUCGAAGUAAAAAAGGUAAAGUUAAUAAACGGAUUAAAAAAUUGUUGAUCAUGUAAUAUUCAAGAGUUAAACUAAUAUUGUUGAGAUCAAAUUUAAGCCCAAACAUCAUAAAUAAAAGAUAAGUAGUAAUCUUCCGAAUAAAAAUCGAUGCGAAGCUGACGGCGACAAGUAAUUUUUUUGAAUGAAAAAAAUUAAGACAGAAGAGGUUAAUGCACAUGACAGUGGGAAACGUUUCGCGUGGCAGUCACGUCGUCGUAAAACGAGUGUGGUGUUAGAGUAGUGUAUGGUGCAGGUGCCAGCUGGAGAACUGAUAAGUUAAAUUACAGACAACAAAAUUUAUCUAUGGCUAUUGUAUAGUGUCCCUUUUUAUCAUUCACUUCGAAGGAAUUUAACAAUAGGAAUAUUUUCAAAGAAUAUAAAAAUGGCCAGUCCACGAACUCGCCGUGCCUUAGCUGACCUAAAACCUCACGAUGAGAACAACAGAUGCUUUGAAUGUGGGGCACAUAACCCGCAAUGGGUCUCUGUCACUUAUGGGAUCUGGAUAUGUUUGGAGUGCUCUGGUAAGCACAGAGGACUUGGAGUACACUUGUCAUUUGUUCGCUCCAUUUCCAUGGAUAAAUGGAAAGAUAUUGAGUUGGAAAAAAUGAAAAUUGGAGGCAACAGAAAUGCUAGAGUUUUCUUUGAAUCUCAACCUGACUGGGAUGAUUCAAUGUCUAUUACCCAGAAAUAUAACACCAAAGCAGCUGCUUUAUAUAGAGACAAGAUAAAUACAUUGGCUAAUGGUGGUUCUUGGAGUCCUACAUCUUCAACUGCCAAGGAUUAUACUCCAACUUAUGUCGACAGUAAAAGAGAUAGUUAUAGUAGUUCUUCCUAUCAGAACAAUUCGGGAUCGUCAUCAUCAUAUCAAAACCACAACUUUAAUACUCCAGAAUUUAAAUCACAGACAGAAGAUUUUUUCACAAGGAAACAGAAUGAAAAUGCUUCUCGCCCGGAUCAUUUACCUCCAAGCCAGGGUGGCAAAUAUGGUGGAUUUGGUUAUCAAGCAACUCCAAUAUCAAAGAGCACAUCGCAAGAAUUUGUUGACACUGCUUUAUCUUCCCUUGCUAGUGUAUCUUUGCAGGGAUGGUCUUUGUUCUCAUCUACAGCUACUAAAGUAGCCAGCAAAGCCACUGAAAAUGCUAUUAAAAUUGGAGGAAUAGCCACACAAAAGGUAUCUGAAAUGUCUACUCAUGUAGGUGAAAAGGUACGAGAAGGUACUCUUUUAGAAGAUGUAGGAAAUCAAGUUGGCAAUUUAGCUGCUAAGGUUGGUGAAUUAGGAAGGAGAGGUUGGGGAGAUAUCAGUGGAAGUAAUACUACUGAACAAAGCUACUACAAUUCACAUGGCAACUAUCAAGAUUCAGCUAGUUCUUAUCAAAACAAUUCUGACUACAAAAAGUAUCCGGAUGAAAGGUCAUCAUUGUCUGGAUCAAAUCAAAAUAAAUCUGGGGUAUCAUCUCCAACAUCUUACAAUUCAGACUGGGAUUGGAAUUCUAGCUCGCAACCAAAAGAAACUGCUGACACUAAACCAUCAUCAGCUGCAACUAAAAGGUUGAAGGAAAAGAAAAUGAACCAAGAUCCAUUAGUUAAUCUUGAAACAGAUAAAACCAAUUCAAAUUGGAAUUCUAAACUUGAAGAUGAAGCCUGGGAGAUAUUGAAAAAUUAAUUAAAGUUAGUGUAGUUAGUGAAUUUGAAUCAGAGGUGAUUGAGGCGCUAUAGUUUAUAUUUUAUUAGAUUCAUGAGUCAGUAUAUUCCAAGUUAUUAUUAACAUUCAGAUUGUAAUCAGAGUAUUCAGUUAAUAUGAGGUAUUGAAUGAAAAACAUACAAGUGUAAAUAAUCAAUAGAAACAGUAAUUCUCAUUAACUUUCUUUAUUGUUCAUUUCAAUGAUGUAUUUU